rfam:Caloranaerobacter azorensis H53214 contig11, whole genome shotgun sequence.
CCGUGCUAGAUGGGGAGGUAGCGGUGCCCUGUAACCUGCAAUCCGCUAUAGCAGGGUUGAAUUCCCGAUUGAGGCUUGCUAUUGUGAGGUCUGCCCUGAGUAAGUGGCGUUGACGAUUGGGUCCUACGCAACGGAAAUUCAUGAACCCCGUCAGGUCCGGGAGGAAGCAGCGGUAAGUGAACACUUCCGUGUGCCGUAGGGGUGCCUGAUUUGAGCUAACUGCUCAGGUAACGCUUGGAGUAGUAAGUCGAGAUCGGGUGCACGG